rnacentral:rRNA from 1 species
UAAUACGUAGGCAGCAAGCGUUGUUCGGAAUUACUGGGCGUAAAGCGUGCGUAGGCGGUUGGCUAAGUUUGGUGUGAAAUCUCCCGGCUCAACUGGGAGGGUGCGCCGAAAACUGGCCGGCUAGAGUGCGGGAGAGGGAAGUGGAAUUCCUGGUGUAGCGGUGAAAUGCGUAGAUAUCAGGAGGAACACCUGUGGUGUAGACGGCUUCCUGGACCGUGACUGACGCUGAGGCACGAAAGCGUGGGGAGCAAACAGGAUUAGAUACCCUGGUAGUCCACGCCCUAAACGAUGCAGACUUGGUGUGCGCCCUUCAUUGGGUGCGUGCCGUAGCUAACGCGUUAAGUCUGCCGCCUGGGGAGUACGGUCGCAAGGCUG